rnacentral:rRNA from 1 species
AACGAACGCUAGCGGCAUGCCUAACACAUGCAAGUCGAACGAGACCUCCGGGUCUAGUGGCGCACGGGUGCGUAACGCGUGGGAACCUGCCCUUAGGUUCGGAAUAACUCCCCUAAAGGGGUGCUAAUACCGGAUAAUGUCUUCGGACCAAAGAUUUAUCGCCUUUGGAUGGGCCCGCGUUGGAUUAGCUAGUUGGUAGGGUAAAAGCCUACCAAGGCGACGAUCCAUAGCUGGUCUGAGAGGAUGAUCAGCCACACUGGGACUGAGACACGGCCCAGAAUACUACGGGAGGGAGCAGUGGGGAAUAUUGGACAAUGGGCGAAAGCCUGAUCCAGCAAUGCCGCGUGAGUGAUGAAGGCCUUAGGGUUGUAAAGCUCUUUUACCCGGGAUGAUAAUGACAGUACCGGGAGAAUAAGCACCGGCUAACUCCGUG